rnacentral:misc_RNA from 1 species
UCAUGAAGAGUUGUUUUCUUUAGCGGACUGCCAUUUCCAGUAGACUGAGCACACCUGACAACGAAGGAGCGGGUCAAAGGGUGGCUACUUCGGAUGGACAACUUAGACGAUGAAACUCUGGCGAGAAAAGCAGUCUUGGUGUGGAAAUCGACGAAGCAUACAGGCACAGAAUAUCUGGACUUGAAGGAAGAAGAAGGUGAUAUAGACGCAGCAGGGGCGGGAUUAGCGAGCUUGGAAAUCGUAGCCAUGGAGGC